rnacentral:rRNA from 1 species
GGUCAAGCUAACUCAGAGCUGACGGUGGAU